GCUAUUUAGCGGGGGCGCGCGGCGGGCUCGAGGACGCGCGAAACGGAGGCGGCGGCGGCGGCGGCGGCGGCCGUUGCGGGGCGCACUCUCGAGUGGCAGAGGCGGCCCAGGGUGUCCCGUCAGUCUCGGCGCCGGGAAGAGGCGGUGACACUGCCCUCGGUGGCGGGGGUUGGCGACGGAGCGCGUUGGUGCCAGGACUGGUCCAAGGCGCACUCUCCGCCCACAGAAAUGAGCCGUCAGACUGCUACCGCAUUGCCUAUCGGUACCUCGAAGUGUCCACCGUCCCAGAGGGUGCCUGCCCUGACUGGCACGACUGCAUCCAACAAUGACUUGGCGAGUCUUUUUAAGUGUCCAGUCUGCUUUGACUAUGUGUUACCACCCAUUCUUCAAUGUCAGAGUGGCCAUCUUGUUUGUAGCAGCUGUCACCCAAAGCUCACAUGUUGUCCAACUUGCCGUGGCCCGUUGGGAUCCAUUCGCAACUUGGCUAUGGAGAAAGUGGCUAAUUCAGUACUUUCCCCCUGUAAAUGGAUGUGAAAUAACUGCCACACACAGAAAAAGCAGACCACGAAGAGCUCUGUGAGUUUAGGCCUUAUUCCUGUCCGUGCCCUGGUGCUUCCGGUAAAUGGCAAGGCUCUCUGGAUGCUGUAAUGCCCCAUCUGAUGCAUCAGCAUAAGUCCAUUACAACCCUACAGGGAGAGGAUAUAGUUUUCCUUGCUACAGACAUUAAUUUUCCUGGUGCUGUUGACUGGAUGAUGAUGCAGUCCCGUUUUGGCUUUCACUUCAUGUUAGUCUUGGAGAAACAGGAAAAAGACGAUGGUCACCAGCAGUUCUUCUCAAUCGUACCACUGAUAGGAACACGCAAGCAAACUGAAAAUUUUGCUUACCCACUUGAGCUAAAUGGUCAUAGGCGACGAUUGACUUGGGAAGCAACUCCUCGAUCUAUUCAUGAAGGAAUUGCAACAGCCAGUAUGAAUAGUGACUGUCUAGUCUUUGACACCAGCAUUGCACAGCUUUUUGCAGAAAACGGCAAUUUAGGCAUCAAUGUAACUAUUUCCAUGUGUUGAAAUGGCAAUCAAACAUUUUGUGGCCAGUGUUUCAUCUUUUGGUAGUGAAAGCUAGACACAUGAAGGUAAAUAAAAAGAAAGGCUGUUAAAUACAGGAAACAGUUGCAUGUAGUAACACUAAUAUAUUUUAAAAUAAGUCAACAGUAAACCACUGAAAAAAUGUAUGUAUAUACACCCAAGAUGGGCAUCUUUUGUAUUAAGAAAGAAGAAAGCAUUGUAAAAUAAUUCUGAGUUUUGUGUUUGUUGUAGAUUGUAUUGUUCAAAAAUAAUGGGUUUUUUGUUUUGUUUCUGCAUGUGUGAGUGUGUGCGUGAGUGUGUGCGUGUUUGGGUUUUUUUCCUUUAACUGACAAGCCAUCUUGAGUGGUCAUGGGCCACUGCUUUUCCCCUUUGUGAGUCAAUACACAGUGCUGCGGUGUGCUUUUUUGUGUGUGUUUUUGCUAAUUUUUAUUAAUUCUAGUUUUUAUUAAAUAAAUUUGACUUUCUUUUCUGUAAUUCAGGUUUUUCCUCACUUUUUUUUUGUACCAUUUUAAAGUUAGUGUCUUUUGCUAUGCAUAAUUGUUUAUGGUAAAAUUUAUAACAUGCAUUCAAUACAUAUUUCUUUUCCCCAUUGAUCAGUUCAUUAGAAAUAUUUUAAAAUCAGCUAUUUUAUGAAGCUAUGAGUUCCAGAAAGUAAAGGUGGCAUCGGGAAAAUUAUCAAAAGCUAUUUAAAGCAUCUAUAAGAUGGUUUCUCUUUCUCUCUUCUACAAAUGAGUCACACCUUUGAGCUUAAUCGUUGAUGCAUUAGAGAAUCAAUUGAAUCUUAUAAUGAAAAUUGGGCUUUUGUUUCCUUUUUCAAAUAUCUUAGACAAAUCAUCUGUUUAAGAUUUGUUCUUGUAUUUAUUGGUUUUGCAGAAGAAGGCAUCGUCAUGCACAGUAUUUGUAAUUAAAAGCAAAUCAUUUGUUUAAAAAGGCAGUUUGCAAAAAAAAUGUUUUUGGUCUUUUAUAAUUCUCAUUAAAAGAAUAUCUGGCAAAUUAAAAAAUACA